ACAAAAACAAAAACGAAUGUGCAGAAAGUAACCAAAGAGGGAACUGCAGUUUCACUGUAGCAUGGGUGAGGCCGGCGACCUGCCAUCUGUGCUCCUCAGGCUUCCUUCCUGUUGGCGCCUGUGCCGUGCAUCUGGGAGGACAGACUCAGAGGCAGAAGACAAGGAUGAAGCUUGUUCCGUCCAAAGGAAAGAGCACUUCAGAAAUGAUACCCCAAAUUGAAGAAGCAAGUGUAUAUUUCCGAGUGUCGUUAGUUGCACUGUUGUGGCUGCCUCCAUGUCCUGAAUUGAUUUGAAACUUUUCCCUUUCGUGGUCAUUUGGAGUUUGGGGAAGAGCCAGAAACACUCAGGAAACGGGACAUCCAGGACAGCUUGAGAAAGUGGCAAGAACCUGGAGAUAAGUGUGUUCAAAGUGAGGGGAG
rnacentral:lncRNA from 1 species